ACAGAACGCCAACAAUGGCUACCAUCUCAUGUGGCUUAUUACGAUGCAUACUAUGCUAAAUGCCUUGUACAUUUACAAAUUUAAUUAGUAUAGUAUUCCUAUGGAGUAGGAGUAAUUUUGGCCCUACUUUUAUAGAUGCUGAAGUAAAGGACAGGGAUGGUAAAUAAUUUACCUAAAGCUGCACAACUCUUAAUUGGCAGGAGUAGAAUUCUAACUUUUCAAAACUUUGAGCAUCAAACAACAAUCAUUUUAUCUUCUCUCAUGAUUUUAUGGGAUGAGCGAGGUGACUUCUUGACCAGGUGUCAACUGCAGCUACAGCCAUCUGGUUUUGGUGGUGGUGGUAGUGGGGAGAGGCUGCAACGUCUGAGGCUGUUUAUCACAAGCCUGGCAUUCAGGCUAUCUGCAGGGAGCUCACUUAGAGCUGUUAACCAGAUAUUCUAGCUGUCCUCCUCUUUGCAAUACUGCUUGAAGCCUCACCAUAUGGACCAGCUUUGCUCAGCACAGGCUGGGCUACAGGAAGGAGUGUGGCAAGAGGACAAGCUCCAAAGUGCAGACAUGGCAUCAUGUUGAUCAAUGCCUUGUGAGAAGGACUGAGGAACACAUAGUCAAUAAAUGUUUUGGUUCACUGCAGCAUUAUUCAUAACAACCAAGAUAUGGAAGCAACCUAAGUGUCCA